rnacentral:rRNA from 1 species
UACGUAGGGGGCAAGCGUUAUCCGGAUUUAUUGGGCGUAAAGAGCGUGUAGGCGGCCAAGCAGGUCCGCUGUGAAAACUCGAGGCUCAACCUCGAGACGUCGGUGGAAACCGUUUGGCUAGAGUCCGGAAGAGGAGAGUGGAAUUCCCGGUGUAGCGGUGAAAUGCGCAGAUAUCGGGAAGAACACCCGUGGCGAAGGCGGCUCUCUGGGACGGUACUGACGCUGAGACGCGAAAGCGUGGGGAGCGAACAGG